rnacentral:rRNA from 1 species
GGGGAAUCUUAGACAAUGGGGGAAACCCUGAUCUAGCCAUGCCGCGUGGACGAUGAAGGCCUUAGGGUUGUAAAGUCCUUUCAGCUGGGAAGAUAAUGACGGUACCAGCAGAAGAAGCCCCGGCUAACUCCGUGCCAGCAGCCGCGGUAAUACGGAGGGGGCUAGCGUUGUUCGGAAUUACUGGGCGUAAAGCGCACGUAGGCGGACUGGAAAGUUGGGGGUGAAAUCCCAGGGCUCAACCCUGGAACUGCCUUCAAAACUAUCAGUCUGGAGUUCGAGAGAGGUGAGUGGAAUUCCGAGUGUAGAGGUGAAAUUCGUAGAUAUUCGGAGGAACACCAGUGGCGAAGGCGGCUCACUGGCUCGAUACUGACGCUGAGGUGCGAAAGCGUGGGGAGCAAAC